ACCUUGUGUGCCUGUCUAGCUGUGGAGAGUUGACCCAGCAUUCGGAGACUCCUUGUCUGACCUGUAAGUCAGGAUAGCUGGAAACUCAUCCCGGUGGACGGGGUGCAGCUGAUCCAAGACAUCCUGCGACCAGCCCGCCACCUUCUUCCUGCAGCGCCGGCACUCCAGGUACUCUGUGGCCAUAAAGUACCAUCCGUCUGUGUCCAGGACCCUCCGGACGGUCCUGUAGAGUCCGGCUCCCGACAACCUGUGGCUGCACGCUGUGCACGAGAGCUUGUAGCCCCACAUGCGGUAGGGCAUCCACAGGAAGAACGGGCGCUGAAAAAAAGUGUCGGGCGAUGUCGGGGGCUGGAGGUGCACGUUGGGGGGGCCGGGAGGAAACCACCAAAGGCGAAGGUUGGAGGUCAGCAUAGGCUUUCCGUCCUUGCCCCUGGUGAAAAGGACCUGGCUUACCCACACAUGCUGUUCUUUAGGUAGCGAUGUCCUCCAGCCCUCGGGCAAAAGUAGCUGUGAGUGAGUGAGAGAGAGAGAGAGAGAGAGCAAGGGAGAGAG